AGUAACCGAAGGUCCUGAAAAGUGGUGACACGCUGCUGCCAUGGAUGACCUGCAGGGGGAAGCGUAGUGCCUCUGGAUAUCAGAAUUACUUCAUUGAUUGCCUCAAGUAAAAGUAUUUGAUCAUCACACUUCCUGUUUGAUGAAACGGCGCUCCAACUGCAAAGUCUGGAUCACAGCAGAGAGGAGGAAUAUUGACUGGUGAUCUCCUGCGGCACUGAGGCUCAUUCCAAAGGCAGAUCCAACUGGUCCUGUCAGCACCUGACUGGGCCUGGAAUCAAACCUUCCACCUAAAUUCAUGUAAACAUACACCGCUCCGCCAACUUCCUGUUGGUUAUUAA